rnacentral:lncRNA from 1 species
UGAGAUCUCUGAAUAUCCUAAGCCAAGUGCAGGCCAUAGGAGAAAGCAGUGAAAAAGAAACACUGUGACAAGCAAGGAAGAAACUUCAGACCAAGUUGACAGGCAGCCCUUCAGUUUACUGACUGCCGCUUCUUACCUGCCAACGCCAAGCACAAAGCUGCCUGCAGAGCCAGCCUCUAUCUGUGGUCCUUGUGCCAAUUAUCACUGCCCCACUCAUGCCGCAGGAUAUAAAGCAGAGUGACAGGGUCACAGGACUGCCAGAGGAAUACAGGCUGCAGUGCAGUGGUGCCAUCUGGGCUCACUGCAACCUCUGCCUCCCAGGUUCAAGUGAUCCUCAUGCCUCAGCCUCCUGAGUAACUGGGAUUACAGAGCUGGGGUUUCACCAUCUUGCCCAGACUGGUCUCAAAGCCCUGGGCUCAAGCAAUCUUUCCUUCUUGGCCUCCCAGUGUCCUGGGAUUACAGGCAUGAAUCACUCCGCCCAGCUGGAUUUUUCAGUUAAGAACACCGUUGGUGAUCUUAGGUAGAUUAGAACCAGAGAAGCAUUAGAAACAAAAGCCAAAUUCAGCCCACCAACAAAUGAGGAAUCAGAGAAGGAAAGGAAUCAGAGAAGCUUCUAGAGGCUACCCACAUUCCUGGGCUAAUGGCCCCUUCCUACAUCUUCAAAGCCAGCAGUGGUGGGCUGAGUCUUUCUCCUGGUAUCAUCUCUUCAUUCUCUAUCUCCCUCUCCCAAUUUUAAGGACCUCUGUGAUUAUAUUGGGCACCUGGAUAUUGCAGGAUACGCUCUCUAUUUUAAGGCUAUGCUCCGUAAAGAGAGUGCCUCCUCUAGAAUCACAAGACCUAAGCAUGAAUCUUCCUUUGAAGGAUAAAAUGGAAGGAAAAAAACUGGAUGAGGAAAAGAAGAGUGGGGAAUAGAAAGAGAGAGAGAGAGAAAGAUGGAUAAAUUUUUAAAGUUACUAUAAUAAAAAUCUUCUACAACGAAACUAUAAUUGUUGAU